ACCUGAUGAGGAUGGGAUGAAGCAGGAACAGUUUUCGAAUGAAGAAAGAAGUAUUGGGAGGCAGUAAUAUUAUGUCCUCCACAGUAGCUCACAGGCUCACAAAGUGGGUUCUAAGACUCCUUAGUGAUGACAUAAUUAGAAACCUUUAAAUUAAUACAUCCAGUUCAUCUAGAAGUCAGUGGUCAUUACACAGAAUCAACAACCCCACUCCUCUGGUUCUCAAGCAGCCUGCUCUCCCCACAUCUCUUCAGACAACCUCGCCACAGCUCCUCUCCCUGAAUAAGAAGAAUAUCCUUAGUCUAGUUUAGUUUUAUAGAUUUACCUGAUGUUUGAAGAACAGCAUUUUCUCCCAAGCUAAAUUGGAGAGUGGAUUAUUUGCUUUACAAAAGGAUUCUUGACUUUACAAAGGAUUUCCAGAAUAGGACUUUAAAUAGCAACCUCCCCUGGUGCAUUUAAACUAUGAUUCUGUCUGCAAGAUGUUGCUUCUGAAUAACUCAAAUUCUGUUUACCUGGGGGCUAGGUUAGGCAGUUUCUAAGAGCCCUUCCAGUGUAAAAAUUCCAUGAGUCUGUAACCUAUAGAACACAGUUGCAAAGAGGCAAGGGCUCAGAACUGAACAGCCUGGCCUCUAACUCUGGCCCUCUUAGUGAUUUACUAGCUGUGUGAUGACUUUGGGCAAGUUGCUGAACCACUCUGAGCCUCAGUACCCUCAUUUAUUAAUGAAACCCAAUGCAAAAGUGUGUUAUAAAGAUUAAAUGGGUGAAUACAUGACAUAUUUAGUACAUUCCUAGGCACACAUGGAGUAUUAGUAUACUGACUGCAGCUACUUUUUGGCUAGUUUCCAAUCUAUUUGGUCCUCUGCAGACAGAGAGAUCCCUUCAAAAUGUAAUUCGGCUUUUGUCAAACUGCUCUGCUUAAAAUCUCAAUGGUUUCCCACUUCUCUAAGAAAAACCCAGUAUCUCAGAAUGUCUUACUAGGGCCUCCAUUGCUGGCCUCCCCCUGGCCACCCAGGGUCAUUAUUCACCACACUCAUUACCACCUGCACACAAACCUGCUGCUGCUUUUCCCAAGUUCAAAACAAAACUAAAAAACACUUCCUCCUGACCUCACUUCUCGUUAGCCUCUGCUUUACUUCUCUGCUCCCGUUGGCCAUGAAACUUCCCGAAAGAUGUGUCCAUGUCCUCUUUCUUCAAUUUCUCUCCCCACAACUGCCUCCUUAGCAUCUCCACUUGCAUAUAUCAUAGAAACCUUUUUUUUUUUUUUUUUUUUUUUUUUUUGAGACGGAGUCUCGCUCUGUCGCCCAGGCUGGAGUACAGUGGCGCGAUCUCUGCUCACUGCAAGCUCCGCCUCCCGGGUUCACGCCAUUCUCCUGCCUCAGCCUCCCGAGUAGCUGGGACUAUGGUGAAAUCUUGUCACAGCAUCUCCGGAAGUGAACCCUGAUCCAACUCCUUCCCCAGCUUGCUCUCUGGACGCAUCCUUGAAUCAGUCAGUGGCAACUCCAACUUUCUGGAUGCUCCAGCUGGAAACCUUGAAGAAACAUCUCUUCCUACCCACUGUCCACCCGCUAAUCGUGCUACCUCCCCUUCAGAGCGUAGCUGAAAGAUACCCAUUCUCCCCAGCUAUGCCGCUGCCCCUCCCUGGCCCAGCCAUGUCCCUCUGAAUCACUGCCAUAAUCUCCUUGUGGGCUUGGCUUCCACCUUCAUUCCAUACCCCUCUGUUUCCAGGAACGUUAAUAGAAAAAAAACAAACUCUGUAAAAUAUUUUUAAGAGAUUUAUUCUGAGCCAGUAUGAGAGACCAUGGCCCGGGGGACACAGUCUCAAGAGGCCCUGGAAAAGUGCGUCUCAGGCGGUUGGGUUACAAUUUGGAUUUAUACAUUUCAGAGAGACAGGGGUUGCAGGCAAAGACGGAAAUCCACACCUUGAAAGGAUACAUUCAUUCUUCCAGGAAAGAUGUGACACUUUGAAGCGUGGUGUACAGGUUAUAGGUGUAUCCAGAGAUUCUUUAAUUUGCAACGGGUUAAAGGAGUAAAGCUUUAUUUAAAAAUUUGGAGUGAACAGAAAGUAAGGUUUUAAGUUAAGAAGUCUGUUAAUCAAAAUGCUGGGUCAGGGUGACCAGUAGGGGUGUGUGACUUCAUCUGCCUGGCGUGGCUUUAAGUCCCCUAUCUUAUUGUCACCAAGAGUCUGUUUUGUUAGUUGUUGUUGUUUUUGUUAUUGUUGUUUUUGAGACAGAAUCUCACUCUUUCGCUCAGGCUGGAGUUCAGUGGCACGAUCUUGGCCCACUCUAACCUCUGCCUCCCGGGUGCAAGUGAUUCUUCUGCCUGGGCCAGCUGAGUAGGUGGGAUUACAGGCGUCCAUCAGCACGCCAGGCUAAUUUUUGUAUUUUUAGUAGAGACAGGGUUUUGCCAUGUUGCUCAGGCUGGUCUCGAACUCCUGACCUCAAGUGAUCCACCCGUCUUGGCCUCCCAAAGUGCUGGGAUUACAGGUGUGAGGUACUGUGCCCAGCCCAUUUUAUUAGUCUUAUUGCCUCUGCUUUAACAUUAAUGUCAAUCAGUUGUGAUACCUAAAUUUCACAAAAGAGGGGGUAUAAUAAUGUGUGUUCGACCUCUCAUCCUGUCGUGGCCAGGAAUUAAGAUUUUAGUUUUCUCUGGGGUCCUCUUGAGCAAGAGGGGGUCCACUUAGUCAGUGAGGGGCUUUCAACUUGAAUUUUAGUCUACAGCACUCGGAGAAGUCCUUUGAAAACAGAAGUCAGAUCAGAUCUCGGCUGCUGAAGGCCUUGUAGGGCUACCCCACUCUGUCAGAGUAGAAGCAAAGCCCAGCGUGGCCCUAAGGCCCGCAUGAUCUGAUCCUCAGCCUUGCCCCUCUGGCUUUAUCUCUGACUUCUCUCCCUCUCAUCUGCUCUGCUCCAGCCACGCUGGCCGCCUUCCAUUCCCGAACAUGCCAGCUGUACCCUCACUUUGGAACUGCCUGUUUCCUCUGCCUGAAACACCUCCCUCCAGGAAUCUGUAGAGCUAACUCCAUCACUCUUCAACUGUCACCCAUGUCAUGAGGCCUGCCUUGAUCCUUGUAUUCAAAGUAACUCACCCCAACCUGAGACACUCAUGAUCCUCCUUGCCCACUUCUCCCUUUCCCAUAUCACUUAUUAUACUACGGAACUUAAUUAAUUAUUAUGUUUAUUUUUGAUUGACCCCUUGCUUUCCAAAUAUAAGCUUUUCAAGGACAGGUGCCUUUGACCAUCUUGCUCAUGUAUCCCUAUCAACCAGCAAAGUGCCUGUCACAUAAUAGAUGCUCAAGAAAUAGCAGUUGACUAAGCAUAUGCUCUGGCCAUUCCGGUCUGUUUUCUCAUGACCUGAAGUUGCAUUUCAUACAUCACUUCCUCAGGGAAACCUUCCCUGACCUCCCUGAUCAGUUCCUACAAUUAUAGGUCCAGUUUCCCUCUCCUCCAUAGCACUUUUGAGAGAUUCAAUUUUGUAUUGGUUUUGUGACUACACAAGCUUCAUCAAGUCAGGUUCAACCCUGUAGGUUUUUCCGUACCAUCUUAUCAUGAAUACCUAAGAGUAUCUGGUACAUAGUAGGUGCUCAAUAAAUACUUGUGAAAUACAUGAAUAUUAGAUGGUUAUUCAUAUUAUUUUAAGUAGUUAAUAUUUCUUUACUUAUUCAUGGCCUUCAAGUUCAUAUACAACAUGAUUAAAAUCAAUCAAUCAAUUUGCUACUAGGUAAUUGCCCCUAAAAGGAUCAGUGGUUAUCUGCAGGGCUUUUAAAUAAACUCCAUUUGCUACUUUAUGCGGCUAAAGGAGUGUACCAAGAGAACUUUUUGCCUUUCAUUAGAAUUUCAUCUCAGUAUUAUUUAUUUGCAUCUGAAGCAGAUCCUUUCCUGUCUGUCUUCCAGGCAUGCAAACACUUUUGUUUUAUCCAAGUGAAGCAUGAAAAUUUGCAGGUUGCACCCAAAACCAAAAUCCACUUUUUAACCCCGCCAAUUUAAAGUAUUUUUUUUUUCCAAACCUACUUUAUAUAUGAGCAAUCCAAGAUUCACAUCAGGGUUGUUAGAAAAAUGAUCAUACUAGUCUAGUACAAAGAAAAUGGCAUAAUUCUGAUCUUUUGAUGACUAUGUAACACCCAUGAUUCCACGGGCAUGGAAUCAUGACUAAUAGAAUGAAAACUAAUUCCAUAUCCCCUAGUUUAGUUGGUGGUAUCAGUAAUUUAACAAAUUAUUUAUACAAUACUGCGCUUACUAAAUCUAAAUAGUGUUUCCUUCUUGAUACAUAGCAGCUGUUUGUCUAGCCCUUUAGAAGGGUUCAGAAGGAAGAGACUUGGGUAAACUACUUAUGUAUUCCUAGUUUUCUCCUCUGAACAUUUACAUAGCAUGUCCCUGUUGGGAUGUUCAAGACUGACUGCUGAGAACUAAAUAGACUGGGCUCAGACGCAGGAAUAGAUUAGUACACAGAGGCCUGAUGGAAUUUUCCUCUGAUGAAAAGCUCCACCCCUCCUUCGCAGCCUACUUCUGAACACAUGCUAUAACUCUUGUGUGUGUUUGAGGCCUUGGUAAAUAAAGCAGCUGGUACAGAGAAAGGGUUCGACACCUUACCUUUGUCAGGGACUCUUGAGAGAAAAAGGAGACACUCUAACAAUUUUAUUGCCAAAUAUUUCAAGCUUAUAAAAUGCAUCCAAAAUAAUAAAAUGAACACCCUUGCACCUACUGCCUAAGAGAAUAGCUAUUAGGCUAUAUUAGAAACGGCUAUGUUAGAAAUAAUCGCAGCUUUUUUUUUUUUAUUUAACUUUGUCAAGUCAAUGUUUUGCCUAAUUGUGUCAGACCCUUUGGAAACAAAAAGAAAGGAAACGUCAGAGGCAUGGGCAAAGUUUCACUGAAGACUUCUUCUAUACCUUCCAUUUGCCCAUCUUCUUCCACAGAGAUAUUUACUGUCUUGAGAGUGAGGUUUACCUUGACAUAUGUGCUUUUAUUCUUGUUCCUUAUAAACUUUAAUUUUUAUGUGCUUUAAAACUUUAUAUAAAGGCUAUCAUACUCUAUAUCUCUUUCUGCAAGCUGUUCACACACAUAGACACACACUUCUUGGCUCACUAUUCUAUUUUUGAGAUAUAUUCAUGUUAAAACAUAAAUAUACGCUCAUUCUGAUGGUGCUGUGUGUUUAUGUGGUUUUCUUUUUUCUGGUGGCUAGGGGCUCAUAGCAGGGGUCAGCAGAGGAUACAGAACUGCUUUUCCUUUCUAUUGAUUUAAGUCUGUGCCCAGCACGAGAGCCUGCGUGAUUAAAAGAUGUCUGCUACUGUUAAUUUAAUGUGUCAGUUUGGCUGGAACACACUGCCCAGACACAAAAGCUCACCAGCUAUCCAGAGGUAUCAGCAUUCAAUACUCAAGGAUGCCAUCAUCAAAAGAAACUAUUGAUCUCUGUUAACAUCCAGUGACAUGAACUCAUGUAGGAUGCACCACCCCAUUUUCUCUUGGGUGAUUUCACAUUCCACAUCCUAUUCUGAAAACUUCAAACUCUUGUAACGUUUAUGAGAUAAUGGAAUAUGGGUCAAAUAAGUGCCUCCAAGUUGCUCACGUCAGCAAUCCCAUAACUAAAUGGGCAGUCAGAUGAAAUUAUCAGAAGCACAGAUGGCACUCGACUGUGUUUAGUGCAGGAGAAUUCCCUCUCAAAACACGCAUGGCUUGAGUUCUCCCUUAUGCUACUCCCUUUGUGGAAAUGUGUUAUGUGUAAUCAACCUCUCUUUUCCCACAUGCCUGAGAAAUGCAAUUCCUUUCUUGAUAGGGAAGAUUGGCCCCUGACUGAUUUUCGUUAUAUUUAUAUGUUCUCAACCUUGCUGGGCAUGCAUCAGCUGGGUCUCUGCACUGCCAAAAUGAUGGAUGGGGCUCUGGAAUAGAAAGGAGAUGCAUUCCCAUGGGAUGGAGUUUCUCUCCAUCUCUCUGUUCUGAAGAUGUAUCAUCUCACAGCUGGCAGCCACAGAAACAACACAGAGAUCCCGAGACACAACAAAAUGCUCUGAGAAAGAGAAUUUGGGGAUUUAAAAUACAGUGAAAAGGGUCAGAGUAUUCCAUUCUAGUUUUGGCUCUGACACUAACUAAAUAUGUGACCUAGCAUAAAUCAUAUCAAUUCAUUGGUAAAUGAGAUUCUUUCUUCUGCCUUACCUAUUUCAGGGGCCAAUUUGAAGGUGAAAAUGACAUUAGAAAUACAAAGCGUUUUAAUAAAUAUUAUCACACAUCAUCUGUCUGAGAUAAAGACUCAAGCUGUUUCCUGCAGAGCACUCAUUUGACCCACAGCAGAACAGCUUUGGGCUUACUUGUAAGGUGGGGUGUUGGAGGGUCCGCAGGGUUUUAAUCCCACCUCCAACUCUGGCUACAUGUGACACCCUUGGCAAAUCACUCAAAUUUAGCUAUAAACCUUCUUUUCCUUAUCUACAAAAUAGUUAAUUCAUAGUUAUUGUCAGGUUCCUUCCAUGGAUGACAACAUUUAACACUAGUGGGUUGAUUCUAGCUCUGGAUGUUCUGAAAGUUUGAUUCCCUACUGGUUCCAUUUGGUGCAGUGUUUGUUUAAAAAAUUGAAGUCAACUCAUGGAAUGUUAACAAGACAAGUCAUGGAGGAGGCAAAGUUGCUUUCUGGGUGCCUGUACCAGCACUCACCUUGAGGCCCUUCUUCCUCCUCUCACCCCAAGCAUCCCUUCAGUGAGCUCAAGUUUUUUGUGGGAUAUUAAGGCAGCUCUUUUUUUACACUGCCCAGUGGAAGAAUAACUUAAAUACAAGACACUGUUUUCCAGAAUGUGCAUCUUAUGCAGCCAGGCAGAGGACACAAGAGAGUCUGGAGGAUAAUUCUGAAGUGUGCACAAAGAUGCUCAAGAGAUAGGAAGUUAGAGAAGAGAAUGCAGCAGCGGAAAUAUCUUACUGGAAUAUUCUCUCUGUAACCAUGGCUAUAGUAGAAAUAAUCACAGCAGUUUUUUGAGCAUCUAUUGUGCAAAUGUUUUCCAAUAUACUGUAAUGUAUGUAAUUUCAUUCAGUCCUCAUAAAGGUGCUACAGGAUAAAUAUUAUCAUUCCCAUUUUAUAGAGGGGGAAAAGACGCAAAGUUAUAUACCUCCUGGCCGAAGUCAGACAGAAGUAAGUGAGAGGAAGAGGAUUGGUCUAAGGCAUCAUGAUGCCUUGCAGCUGUGUCUUACACCCCACACUCUUGGGUUUUUAAAAGUUCAUUUGGCCAACCACAUAACUCACCCCAAAUGGCCAGGGUAGAGUCUACUGGACCUUGGGCAGAUGUUUUCCUCCCUUUACGAACCCGCCAAAAGCCUCAGUUCCUAAAUCUCUAAAUAAGAAGUAGUUCUCUGGACUUAAAAGAGAGAAGGAAAUAAUAAAUAGAAAAGAUCCCAAUUACACAUGGAAAAAAAUGAUGGUGAAAAAAGCCCACUAAAAAUGGAAGCCAAGAUUUCCUAGAAAAAGGGAGAGAAAAGUUUUAGACUUUAUCUUAAAAAGCUAAAAUGUAUGAAAAUAAGAUGAUUCGGAAUUUAAUAGAAACACAGGUUAUAUUGCAAUUAUUUGCUAAGUAUUAAAAUUAACAUAUAAUUAAGUAUUUUGAGGCCAGUUUUCAAAGAAAUUAUGACAUAUUAGCAUGAUAUGACACCCUUCAAUGCACCACCAUAAAGACCUUUUGAGAAAAAAAAUUGAGGUUUCAUCAGUUUUCCCAAAGGCCACACUGCAUCCUUUGAUAUUUAAAUGAUCAAUUUAUUGUCUUUUAAAGCCUAUCAUGUCAUCAUCCUUGUCAAUUUUCUCUUCUUCAGUUAUUAACGGUCUAAUUCUGUCAGAUCCUCCUUUGUCAAUUACUUUGCAUGUGAUUAGAGAAAUUCUCCAUCAUCCUUUUCAUCUUGGCAAAACUCUGCCUAUUUUCCAAGAUACACAGUUUCCUUUUGCAAUCAAAUUACGAUGUAUUUGAGCUGUGUUAUCAGAUGUUUGACAGCAACCUGCAAAGAUACUGAUGCUGUGGAUAUAGAGAGAAGAGCAUGGAAUGAAGAGGGACCCUUGCAUGGGGACUAAUUUUAAUAAGUGAUGAGUUUAUUGGUACAGGCUGUCAUCAGUGAUGUCUUUUGUCCCACUCUCCAUAUCUUUGUAACUUCGGGGAUGGUGAUAAAUAAUACUUGGUAAGAGUAUUCUCUAUAGUAGAAAAAUAAUAAUUCUUAAGUCGUGCAGAGCUCUUCACAAUCUAAUCUUGUAUCCAACUCUUUGUGUCCCCUAACAGCAUCCCUUAGAGAGAGGUGACACAUGCAUUUCCCAGAUGAGGGAGCUGAAACUUAGCAGGCUGUACACUUUUUGGAAUUUGCAAACUAACCCACUCUCUGCCUUCUAGCAGCAAUUUUCAUGUAUUGUCUUCUUGCUUGGUAUUGGGAACUGUAUUAAGUACUCAACAUGUAUCACCUCCUUUAUUCCUGAUAAUUGUACUACUAGGUGAUGAGCAUGGUUAAUUUUAUUUUUAAAAGAACAAAACUGAGGAUAACUAAAGCUAAGGAACUUUCUGUGUUAAGUCACUUAUUGUUGCAAUAAUACCACAUAACAAAUGACUUAAAAAAUCUCAACAGCUUCCAGCAACCAACAUUUAUUUCUCACUAAAAGGAUCAGCUGGAGGGUUGAGCUCACUCUGAUUUAGGCUACUGGUUGGGUUCAGUUAUCUUCCACGUGUCAUUCAUUUCUAACCUAAGCUGAAGGUGCAGUAGCUUGGGGCAAAAUCUUCUACUGACUAAUGGCAGUAGCAUUCAUCAUGGGUGGCAUGAGGCCAGCUAACCCAUCAAGCAUAUUUAAAGCCUAUGCCAUUUGUCAGGCCUCUGAGCCCAAGCUAAGCCAUCAUAUCCCCU
rnacentral:lncRNA from 1 species